CNUAUNUAGUAAAUCUGCUCCAUGUUUUAUAUAAAUAGCCGCAGUAAUUUCACUGGUGCUAAGGUAGCAUAAUCAUUAGCCUUUUAAUUAAAGGAUAGAAUGAAAGAUUUAACAAUUUAAUUUUUUUAUUAAUAAAAAUUAUUUAAUUUAAAUUAAACAUAAAAAUGUGUUUAUUCAUAAAAAAGACGAUAAGACCCUAUUGAACUUUACUAAAGUUUAGCUGGGGAAGCUGGUCAAAAAUAAUUUUGACUAUAAUAAAACUUAAUCUAACCAAUAAGAUUGAUUAACCAAGUUACCAUAGGGAUAACAGCGUAAUUUUUUUUAAAAGCUCUUAUUAAAAAAAAAAAAUGGCACCCCCAAGGUGGAAUUAUUUUUCCUUUACCCCCCACCGGUCC
rnacentral:rRNA from 1 species